rnacentral:tRNA from 1 species
GCAGUCGUGGCCGAGUGGUUCAAGGCGAUGGACUAGAAAUCCAUUGGAGUCUCCCCGCACAGGUUUCGAAUCCUGUCGACUGCG